rnacentral:ncRNA from 1 species
UAGAGCAUAGUACGAUGAAAGUUGUAAGCUGUGUUCGAGGGAAGUUAUUGUCUAUCGUCGGCCUCAAUGGUAGAAUCAAUCGAGGGGCCUGAGAGGUGGUGAUUUAUCCUAC